rnacentral:lncRNA from 1 species
UGAGAUGAGGUAAUAAAGAGUGACUACAUUGAUAGAGAAUGAGGAUUGAGACAUACAGUAACUUUGGAGUUACUACAGUAACUUUGGUUUUACUGUGGUAACUAAGUUAAAGCUUGGAAAGUUACCUUGGCUCACAUUGGAGAGUAAGCCACGACCAAGGAGCUGUAUGGAUAAGGGAGGAGCAGUCUGGAUAAGGUUUAGGGCUGGAUAAGGCUGGAGACAGGCUGUAAAGUAGACAGCAUCUAGUAAAAGAUG